AUCAGGACUAAACCAGGACUAAACCAGGUCUAAACCAGGACUAAACCAGGACUAAACCAGGACUAAACCAGGACUAAACCAGGUCUAAACCAGGACUGAACCAGGUCUAAACCAGGACUAAACCAGGUCUAAACCAGGACUAAACCAGGACUAAACCAGGGCUAAACCAGGUCUAAACCAGGACUAAACCAGGACUAAACCAGGUCUAAACCAGGACUAAACCAGGACUAAACCAGGUCUAAACCAGGUCUAAACCAGGACUAAACCAGAAAUAAACCAGGACUGAACCAGGACUGAACCAGGACUAAACCAGGACUAAACCAGGACUAAACCAGGACUAAACCAGGAC
ensembl:lncRNA